GCUUGUCUCAAAGAUUAAGCCAUGCAUGUCUAAGUAUAAACUAUUUUAUACUGUGAAACUGCGAAUGGCUCAUUAAAUCAGUUAUAGUUUAUUUGAUAAUCGAAUCUACAUGGAUAACCGUGGUAAUUCUAGAGCUAAUACAUGCUGGUUAGCCUGACUUCGCGGAAGGGCUGUAUUUAUUAGAUAACAAACCAAUAUUCCUUGUGUCUAUUGUGAUGACUCAUAAUAACUGAUCGAAUCGCAUGGACCUUGUCCGCGAUACAUCAUUCAAGUUUCUGCCCCAUCAGCUUUCGAUGGUAGUGUAUUGGACUACCAUGGCUUUAACGGGUAACGGAGGAUUAGGGUUCGAUUCCGGAGAGGGAGCCUGAGAAACGGCUACCACAUCUAAGGAAGGCAGCAGG
rnacentral:rRNA from 1 species